rnacentral:rRNA from 1 species
UACCUACGGGAGGCAGCAGUGAGGAAUAUUGGUCAAUGGGCGGAAGCCUGAGCCAGCCAAGUCGCGUGAGGGAAUAAGGCCCUACGGGUCGUAAACCUCUUUUGCCGGGGAGCAAGGGCGGGGACGUGUCCCGGCCCGGAGAGUACCCGGAGAAAAAGCAUCGGCUAACUCCGUGCCAGCAGCCGCGGUAAUACGGAGGAUGCGAGCGUUAUCCGGAUUUACUGGGUGUAAAGGGAGCGCAGGCGGCGUGGCAAGUCAGAUGUGAAAACCCGGGGCCCAACCCCGGGAGUGCAUUUGAAACUGCC